UCCAGACUCCUACGGGAGGCAGCAGUGGGGAAUAUUGCACAAUGGGGGAAACCCUGAUGCAGCAACGCCGCGUGAGUGAAGAAGUAUUUCGGUAUGUAAAGCUCUAUCAGCAGGGAAGAGAAUGACGGUACCUGACUAAGAAGCCCCGGCUAACUACGUGCCAGCAGCCGCGGUAAUACGUAGGGGGCGAGCGUUAUCCGGAUUUACUGGGUGUAAAGGGAGCGUAGACGGUUCUGCAAGUCUGAAGUGAAAGCCCGGGGCUUAACCGCGGAACGGCUUUGGAAACUGUGGAACUGGAGUGCUGGAGAGGCAAGCGGAAUUCCUAGUGUAGCGGUGAAAUGCGUAGAUAUUAGGAGGAACACCAGUGGCGAAGGCGGCUUGCUGGACAGUAACUGACGUUGAGGCUCGAAAGCGUGGGGAGCAAACAGGAUUAGAUACCCCCGUA
rnacentral:rRNA from 1 species